rnacentral:rRNA from 1 species
UGGGGAAUCUUCCGCAAUGGACGAAAGUCUGACGGAGCAACGCCGCGUGAGUGAUGACGGCCUUCGGGUUGUAAAGCUCUGUUAAUCGGGACGAAAGGCCUUCUUGCGAAUAGUGAGAAGGAUUGACGGUACCGGAAUAGAAAGCCACGGCUAACUACGUGCCAGCAGCCGCGGUAAUACGUAGGUGGCAAGCGUUGUCCGGAAUUAUUGGGCGUAAAGCGCGCGCCAGGCGGAUAGGUCAGUCUGUCUUAAAAGUUCGGGGCUUAACCCCGUGAUGGGAUGGAAACUGCCAAUCUAGAGUAUCGGAGAGGAAAGUGGAAUUCCUAGUGUAGCGGUGAAAUGCGUAGAUAUUAGGAAGAACACCAGUGGCGAAGGCGACUUUCUGGACGAAAACUGACGCUGAGGCGCGAAAGCCAGGGGAGCGAACGGGAUUAGAUACCCCGGUAGUCCUGGCCGUAAACGAUGGGUACUAGGUGUAGGAGGUAUCGACCCCUUCUGUGCCGGAGUUAACGCAAUAAGUACCCCGCCUGGGGAGUACGACCAAGAGGUUG